UUGAUGGAGAGUUUGAUCCUGGCUCAGGACGAACGCUGGCGGCGUGCUUAACACAUGCAAGUCGAGCGAGGAGCUUGCUCCUAGCGGCGAACGGGUGAGUAACACGUGGGCAACCUGCCCCAAGCUCUGGAAUAACUC
rnacentral:ncRNA from 1 species